rnacentral:rRNA from 1 species
UACUAAAGUUGUUGCGGUUAAAAAGCUCGUAGUUGAAAUUGUGUCCCGCGGCGUCCGUCGACCGAUUGCGGUACGAUGGGCGCGUCUGCGGGACUUCUCGCCGGUGCGUCUUCCGCCUGCUCGGCUCGCGCCUUGCACGCGCGGAAUUCGUCGCGGCUUUUUACUUUGAACAAAUUAGAGUGCUCAAAGCGGGCUGUUUUUCGCCUGAAUAUUGUACGCAUGGAAUAAUAGAAUAGGACCUCGGUUCUGUUUUGUUGGCUUUCUGACACCGGAGNNAAUGAUUAAUAGGGACAACUGGGGGCAUUCGUAUUGCGACGUUAGAGGUGAAAUUCUUGGAUCGUCGCAAGACGAACUAAAGCGAAAGCAUUUGCCAAAGGUGUUUUCAUUAAUCAAGAACGAAAGUUAGAGGUUCGAAGGCGAUUAGAUACCGCUGUAGUUCUAACCAUAAAUGAUGCCAGCCAGCGAUCCGCCGAAGUAUCUUUUUUAAAUUACGCGGUGGGCAGCUCCCG